rnacentral:misc_RNA from 1 species
AAGAGUCAUACGUGCGACUGAGUCCGCUCAGUCACCGUAACACUCCACCCUUUGUUUACAUUACCUUUGUUGCUUUGGCAGGCCCGCCUUUGGGCCACCGGCUUAGCUGGUCAGUGUCUGCCAGAGAACCUAAAACUCAUGUUAAUAAUAUUGUCUGAGUACUAUAUAAUAGUUA